UUGGCGGCGGCGGCGGCAGCGGGAGCGCAGGGCAAGGUAGAUGCACUCACUCAGUCUUCACCCUGAGACAGAGAAAGGAAAAUCAUCAGAGGGAGAACAGACAAUGCUCCCUGCACGGAUGCGCGUGCCAGUUCAAAUAGUUUCUCUUCUCCCUCUGCAGUGAACUACCCUCGUAGGAGCUGGGCACCCAGGAGCAAAGCAGCAGAGCAUCUGUACACCACUCGGGGAGCAAAACCAACAGGCAUUUUCUCCUCCAGUCAUUCACACCUUUCCUUAUGUAACUGGUGCCGAAGCGUGUGCUUUGAAAGCUGCUUGCCAAAUCCAGGGGCUGGGAGGCGGCACGACUGCUUCUAGCACUCUAGAUGAAAUUCGGGGAAGGUGGAGGGGAGGGCGGAAGAAACCAAACCCAAACACUGAGCGACCCGUACAAAUCCACAGCUGCGAAUCGAGGCUGUUCCAGGUGUCUGUGGCUGCACUGCCCUCGGGGCAGCGCCGGCACCCUGACCACCAUCUGCGGAGGAUGCCUGGCCUGGCGAGCCAGCGCGGGCCCGGGUGGAUGGGUGAGGAGCUGGGAGCCAUUUUUCUUAUGCAAUAUUUAAAAAAUAAAUAAAUAAUCAGGUAGUGCAGCGAGGAGAAAAGCCCCAGGGAGGCUGGAGGUGGCUGAAUUACUCUCCUGAAUGGUGCCUUGUGCUGACAGAGCCCGCAGGUAGCUUGCAGAUUUUUUUUUUUUUUUUUAAAAAAAAAAAAAAGGAAGCUGGGACUGUUUGCCAGUGCAAAACAGGUAUCCUCUGCUUCGUGGUUUUUGGGUGGCGCUGGGGCCGAUGGUGAGGAGCGUCGGAGGAGGGAGAAGCCCCCCCAGCCCACUCCCGCUCGCCCAGGCGCAGCGGCCUCGAGCUGCCCGGCACGCUCGGAUCCCUGCCGUGCCCGCCGGGCAGUUGUGCCCUCUCCAGUAGGUGCCGUACGCUGGGCGUUUGGUUUGCUUUUUAAGGGAAAAACAGUAAUUUAUUUGCUUUGAUUUAAUCUCAUAACAAUGAGUAAUUCCUUCCUACUGCUCUGUAGUGGCCUAGAAAAGGACAGCGUCGUCUCCACUGUAGCAAGAAGGCUUCUCCCAGGGCAUAAAAUUUUAAUUAGGAACAAUCACGCAGCCUUGAAAUGGGAAUUGUGAGCAGCAAAAAAAAGUCAAACCAUCAAUAAAAUAUUCAAUGGCAGAAAUGUAUUAUUGACACAGCCUUUAGAGCAGAUAAAAGCGGGAAGGCGGGGGGGGGAGCCAGAGCGGGUCUCGGGCCUCGCUCGGUUAAAUAAAGCGUGGGGACCUGCCUGCUUGCGGGGCCAUUGCACGCCCCUCGUGCCAGGGGGAAUAUAGGUCACCCACGGGUGGGGAGUUUCCUCAGGUAAUUAAUGAGUUUGAUUAACACUUCUCCCCCGCUGCAGUGUGCCUCGUGGCAGGGGGAGAGGUGUUAAUCAAAGUCAUUUAUUACCUUACAAAACACCGCUGCCUUGGCAGCAGCUGGGUGAUGGCUAAUGGCUUAUAGGACACAAAACGCCAAAAAAAAAAAAAAAAAGAAAAAAAAAUUCUGCAAAAUGCCACAGCCCUGAGCUGAAGCAGCAGCGUUAGCCCCCGGCCACGGUGCUCUCCCCAGCCCCACACCCGAUUGCCUGACCCCCGCCGGGGACACUGUCCCCAGCCUACGCAGCGGUUCCAAAUCCUGCCUCCCAGCCGAGGCGCAUCAGCUGCGGGGCCAAAAUCUGCCCAGACGGAUGUUUUUGAAACCCUUAUUUUCCCCCUUGCCCCACCCCACAGAAAGAUUGGUGCUGGUUUGGCCUGUCAGAUCACGGCUGAACAGAAAUAACCUGCAAAAAUAAUAAAUAACAUAUAGGCAGAAGCACAGGGCAAAAAUCCCAUACAAAAUCGGAGAUUCGAAUUAAUUUUCUGCCCCUUUUUUUCCUGACGGAGGUGCCGUAAGCGAUGACUCUCUUCUCUUUAUUCCCAUUUAUUUCGCAGAAGGCAAAGCUACAAAUGCAGCCGCAAAACUGAAAGAUCCAGUUUUCUGAAAGAUCCAGUUUUUAACCUGCAGAGGUCAGUUUUUCAGGGCACGUGGGGGACUUCACGUAACAUCCCAAAAUCUGGCGGUGUCCAAGGCAAGCAUGUUUUCUGAGCCUGCUUUUUGACUGUUUUUCCUCCCAGGAACCAGUGAAAUGCUCCUUACAGCCUGCAUCACCCUCUGCUUCUCUUCUUAGCAAGGUGGAGUCUCAUUUUAAAAGCAAGAGUGUCCAAAGCAUGAGUGCAAGAAGCGCAAAAAGCAAGCAUGGGAGAAACUCCUUCAUGCAGCUGCGUGGAGCAAAUGUAUUUUUCACUCAGUUUCCCCAAGUUACUCUUGCAAGGCUGCUCCUCCGCUGGCCAGGCCCUUCUACCUCCAGAUGCUCUGCCUGGCUGAUACGACUGCAAAACAAGAUGAAAACAACCUGAGCAACCAACCCCAUCCCGGUGGGCGAGCGCUUGCGAAAAGUGGAACGGAAAACAGGACACAGGCGAGCGCGAAGCCCGGGCUGGGAGACGGACGUGCUGAUGCCGCAGAUACCCGGCGAGGCUGGCAGCUCACAGGGGCUCGGCUCCGGCUGGGCGUCCUCCUCGGACCUGGCCUGCAGGACGGUCACCGUGGCCCCCGUCUGCUGAAUAAACUGCUGCAAAUUA